rnacentral:rRNA from 1 species
GAGCAACACCGCGUGAGUGAAGAAGGGUUUCGGCUCGUAAAGCUCUGUUGUUAAAGAAGAACACGUAUGAGAGUAACUGUUCAUACGUUGACGGUAUUUAACCAGAAAGUCACGGCUAACUACGUGCCAGCAGCCGCGGUAAUACGUAGGUGGCAAGCGUUAUCCGGAUUUAUUGGGCGUAAAGAGAGUGCAGGCGGUUUUCUAAGUCUGAUGUGAAAGCCUUCGGCUUAACCGGAGAA